GACAGAGGGUGCAAACGUUGUUCGGAAUUACUGGGCGUAAAGCGCGUGUAGGCGGCUCUGCAAGUCGGAUGUGAAAUCCCACGGCUCAACCAUGGAAGUGCAUUCGAAACUGCAGGGCUAGAGUCCUGGAGAGGAAGGUGGAAUGCUUGGUGUAGAGGUGAAAUUCGUAGAUAUCAAGCGGAACACCGGUGGCGAAGGCGGCCUUCUGGACAGUGACUGACGCUGAGACGCGAAAGCGUGGGGAGCAAGCAGG
rnacentral:rRNA from 1 species